GGAGUAUGGACCGUUCUCAGUUCCAUUGUGGCCGUUCAACCUCUCAGUCCGGCUACGCAUCAUCGCCUUGGUAAGCCUUCACCUCACCAACUAGCUAAUGCGCCGCAGGCCCCUCUCUAAGUGAUAAAUCUUUAAACAUCUAAAGAUGCCUUCAUAUGUCCUAUCCAGUAUUAUCCAUCGUUUCCAAUGGUUAUCCUCGGCUUAAAGACAGGUUACCUACGUGUUACUCACCCGUUCGCCAUGGUAUUGCUACCAUUCGACUUGCAUGUAUUAGGCACGCCGCCAGCGUUAAUC
rnacentral:rRNA from 1 species